GGGCCAGUCAAGGUUUCGACAGGGGUCUUGCAGCUGGAGAAGCUAUCCGCAGGUGGUGCGUCAAACCACAAACCUAAAUAUAAACGCUAACAACAAAAACGUAGCGCUUGCCGCUGCCUAAAAGCGGCAUGUCUGCCUCGGGGCACUCACACCCCGGGAUCCAGGCAUCGACUUUGUGAGAAACGAUGCAGGUUAAGCUUUGCCCCUGCAGGCGUAUUAUGAAGCUACCGAAGGCAUCAGGGUGUCUGCUCCCGGCUGCCGGAGGGAACAGGCCGGGGAAAGCCCGGCGCAAAUGAACAGACUAUGAUAGUAGAAGGACAGGGAAUAGGCUUUUGGACACGGGUUCGACUCCCGUCUGGUCCACUU
rnacentral:tmRNA from 1 species